GAUGAACGCUGGCGGCGUGCCUAAUACAUGCAAGUCGAGCGAACAGACGAGGAGCUUGCUCCUCUGACGUUAGCGGCGGACGGGUGAGUAACACGUGGAUAACCUACCUAUAAGACUGGGAUAACUUCGGGAAACCGGAGCUAAUACCGGAUAAUAUAUUGAACCGCAUGGUUCAAUAGUGAAAGACGGUUUUGCUGUCACUUAUAGAUGGAUCCGCGCCGCAUUAGCUAGUUGGUAAGGUAACGGCUUACCAAGGCGACGAUGCGUAGCCGACCUGAGAGGGGGAGCGCCCACACUGGAAAUGAGAAACGGUCCAGGCCCCGACGGGGGGCAGCAGGAGGGAAUCUUCCGCAAGGGGCGAAAGCCUGACGGAGCAACGCCGGGGGGGUGAGGAAGGUCUUCGGAUCGUAAAACGCUUUUAUUAGGGAAAAAAAAAUGUGUAAGUAACUAUGCCCGUCUUGACGGUACCAAAUCAAAAAGCCCCGGCUAACUACGU
rnacentral:rRNA from 1 species